UCGGCUCCGGUUCACGCCGACACCUCCACUUCGGGAGGGGCGACCCGGGGCC
rnacentral:ncRNA from 1 species